UACGUAGGGGGCAAGCGUUGUCCGGAUUCAUUGGGCGUAAAGAGCGUGUAGGCGGCCAGGUAGGUCGGUUGUGAAAACUGGAGGCUCAACCUUCAGACGUCGACCGAAACCAUCUGGCUAGAGUCCGGGAGAGGAGAGUGGAAUUCCUGGUGUAGCGGUGAAAUUCGUAGAUAUCAGGAGGAACACCGGUGGCGAAGGCGGGUCUCUGGGCCGAUACUGACGCUGAGGAGCGAAAGCGUGGGGAGCGAACAGG
rnacentral:rRNA from 1 species